GCUGUAGAAGCCGGCAUUUAUACAUGUUCCACCACCUAGAACCUUUGCUCGGGAAUUGAUGACACCAUCAGUGGAGAUGAAUCCCUGAGAUGGGGAAUUCUUCGAUUCAUCGGUCAAGCAAAUGUGGAAGUUCUCAAGCGUUGCUGCCAAUGGGCAUCCGGCCGUGCCCCCGCCGACAAUGAUGUAGUCAUAUGCUUCAUGCUGGAUUUUGGAGAAACUGCUUGCCUUCCGGAGGGGAGGGAGAUCUGGUGUGGCGGAAUGGUUUCUUCCUGCAAGUUUAAGUGUUUGAUAUUAUUGCCUGGAGCUGCUUGGUUUCAGGUUUCUUCUGGUUAUAAAUAGUUCUACAGGUUGUGAAAAGAAGGUACAUCUUUUCCAGAUUCCACACCUUGUUUUUCCAUCCUUUUACUUGGAAAUGACACUUUCUUAUGUAUUACAUGCCAAGCAUUCUUACAACGACAGAGUGCCACUUUAGGACUAAGUAAACAAUAUCAAAAUCAUAAUGAAGGAUAAUUAGAAAUAGAUGACAACAAAUGUAGCUAAAAUAUCUAAAUAAAGACCCAUGUUCCUAAGCCAGUUCAAAAUCUCUGGAUAAUAGCCAUGGUGGGUAUAACAAGCUGAUCGGCAGAAACAAAGAAAGCAAACAUCGAUGGAUCAAACUCCAACUCUGAACCAUUGAGCUUUUUUCUAUGGGAGACGACUCACCGUGCAGUUUUCAGAAGCAUAGAUAAGCUCAAGCAGAUGGAAUGUACCUUGAGAUAAUCUGAUGAAGCAGAGGAACGCCAAGAUCUUGAAGAACACCCUUCCGCUGAUCAAACCCAUUGAAACCAAAGAGCUCCCCUUGUUUUGUUCUCUUUCGCCCUUUCUUUUUCACCUCUGACUCUGCGUACUUGCCUUCUGUCUGGUGCUCUCUGGUUUCUCCACCUCGCAACCUUGCCCAAUGCAUUUCACUCGUUUAUGUAGACAGUAGCAGCACCGUGGAAUUGAGAGAGCUAUUGUGUACAUUCAUUCAAGGGCGCUCACCCACACCAUUAAUUGCCAUUCAAUGCAGUGCAGCACUGUCCAGUAGUACUACAAGUCAGAUUUAUGGACUUCCUCAUCAGCCAACCAACCACAACGAAACUGCUGUGAAUAUUUUACCCACCGCCCUGAUUUACAUGCAUAUCUCCCUCACUUCUUUCAAACUCAGUGACGUUUUUAUUUCAUUUUUGGUGACUAUAGGCAGAUUUUGAAGAAUGUCCACUUUUCAAACCUGAGCUAUUGUAGAAGUUCAUUUUUCAACCUUUAACUCUGAAACUGGUUGGUUGUUUUCAACUUUGAUCUCUUGAAAAAGUUCACCUAACCCCCUUGGCCCUAUCGCAGAUGAUUUUGUGCUAACAGGUACAACUCAUGACAUUAACGAACAUCAAUUUUACACGCCAGCACUGCGAUGUUAGCAGUCUAAUUAAAACUUCUACAACAAUCGAGAAAUCAAGAACCUGGCUUGGCUGGGAAGAGAAGUGAAGGGUUCGGAAUUCAAAUUGCGUUUUAAUACGUCUCACUAUUCUAAUUUUUUAGAAGAAAUGGCCUUAAUUAUUUCUUUUAUACGGGGUUAAUAAAUAUUAACCAAAUUUAAUUUAAGAAAUGAGAGAAUUCAGAAUAGCUAUGAGAAAGACUAGUCCAAUCCAUAAUGAUGUACCAGAAAAUACAACAUUUUUAUUAUUUAGUAGUACAGUACAGAUUAGCGAGAGAGCAUACUUUUUUCCUAAUUUAAAUGAGUAAAGUUCACAAAAUUACAAGUUUAAUGUACAAACUAUCACAUCUGACUAAGUUUAAGCAACAUAUUAUCGCAUCUGUAGUUUUGGGAUACACUUUGGUUCUUAUAGUUUUGUGAAAUUGAUUCUUAAAUAGAUAGUUUCGUGAUAUAUUUAAUACUAAUUAGGUUACUUUGUUUCUUAAAAUGUACUGUAGUUCUGUGAGAGACUUCUUUAGGAAAAUUUCUGUGAUAUACGUGCUCCCUAAGUCUGUAGUUUUGUGAUAUUGAUCCUCAAAUCCGUACUUCUGGGAUAGGUCUUCACAUUAUUUUUUCGACAAACAGACCGGGGCACCCCUUUCAAUUAGAAGACAUGCAAUUUGUGAAAUUUACUCAAUUUAAAUACACAGAUAGGUUGCUUUAUCUAUAAAGCGGGGCGAAAGCCUAUUUCGAUUAUGUGUAUCUUUAUAGUCUGAGUAGGCCAUUGACCAUUUUGAAUAAAACUGAACAUUGUAGACAAUUUCUGAUACAGUUAAGAGUCCUCGUUCACCUAGACUUUAUUCUUAAUAAACCAGCCCCCUUCAGUCGAAUCCUGUUCCAAGAAGACUAGAUUUCUUUCUUGUUUCUUUGAGGGUAAGAAGACUAUAUUUCUUAAUUCUAUUCUGUACUCCCGUCUGCCCAGAGGUGUUGCUUUCAAGAAAGAGAAGGGCUGAGGAGGGUGUAGAAAAGACGCUGUUUAAGAUGACAAACCACUAUCUGGCCUGAUAUUGACAAGAUACAUGAUACUCUAUUGACAUUCGUUCAGAAAAUGGUUUUGUAACACCAAUGUGUCUGUCAUUGAAUGGUCUUGCUCAGUUGGUUAGCAAGUUUGAGGUUAGCAUCAUCGUACUCUAGAUUACAUAGGAAUUGUCAGUGAUAGGUAUGGAUGGUACUCUAGAUUACACAGAACUGUCAGUGAUAUGUAUGGAUGUCUAGUACUAUCCAGUCGGUAAGUAUAUACCAACUACUAACUAUAACAAUUUAAUUACUUCACAAUUAACCAAUAAAUAUUUACUACCUAAAAAAAAAACAGAAAAAAAAAUGGUGAACAAAAUGGCAGCUGGUUGUUGCCGGCCGUUGGUGGAGGAGGCCAUCCAGGGCACCGGAGUUCGCCGUUGGAGAGGAGCGGGGCAGCCGGCAUUGGCAGACAGCCGGGCCGAGGUGGCAGCGGUGGGGAGGACGAGGUGGCGGCGGCUAUAGCUAGGUCACAGCCGAGCCUGCCUCACACUAGUUUGUACUUUAUAACACGCGGGAGACGAAGGGUCAGGGCUUUCUCGAGUUCUUUUGUCAAGGACUCGGAAAGCUGUCUACGUGGUGAUUUAAGAAAAACUGUAAAUGUCUGACGGAGAUUAUGCCGAGUCCCAUUUUACAGGCGCUCAGCAAAAGCGGUUCACUGUGACGGAGCAGAUGCCAGCUACCGCGAUCACCACGUGGCGCCAGAUUUGCUGGGUGCCUUCAAUCCAGCACAACUUGACAUAGGUCAUAUAUAAGCCAAGUUUAUUUUGCUUGCCAAGUCCUUAUUGUCCGGCUCUCGUCAACGGCAAGUCUUUGCCGAGUUCGAACUGUUACCGAGAUCUGUACUCAGCUUACAUAGUCAUUACCAAGAGCCCGUGUUGGGGAACUCGGCGAAACGGUAAGCACUCGACACAGAGGGAUUUUCCAGUAGUGUAUGGACAUGUCGUUUACAUAGGCAUUUCGACAACGCCCGACUCACUUUAGCCAACCUCCUUGACAAUAUCCAGUCGAAGUUAGGCUAGGGGCAAUGGCGGGUGGGAGGGCUGGGGUCGCUACCAGUUGAGGCGGUGCCUAUUAGUGGCAUCCUAUUGUGAUUCUGGGUGUCUUUCAUCUUUGAGUUUGUACAAACUCUUCUUUCUAUCAAUGCUUCAAGACGCAAGGCUCUGCAUUUUGUCCAAAGAAAAAAAGGCAUGGACGUCUAGUACUGGUCAAAAUUCUUGAUGUCAACUUGACAGUACAAUGUACUAAAAGAAAGAACUGUAAUUGGACGUCCAAAUCAUCUUUGAAACAAUGUUGAGCAAUGAAGGUACAGCAUUUAUGCCCAUCACAUCAGCUAUCAAAAUGGUAUAAUGGAUACGCUGCAACAAGUUGACAACUGAAACGUUAGGAAUAAUCCCAAGCAUUACAUCUAAUCUACCUCAUGUGUAAACACUUGUUCGUGUUGUUUUCAUUUCACCCUUUUCAGCCAUGAUGAUGUGCCAGGGUCCUGGGUGAAGACCCUUCUCCGCCUCGGACUUGGCAGCGGCGACGCUUAGUGCCGUUUACCUCCCGAGGGCGUUGUCAUGGAGCUUAGGUGUCCUACGGCGUGUCGUGGUGGUGUUUUUAGGCCUACCUAUGUGUUCUUUUCUUAGAAACGUAGGCGUGUGCGUUUAUGUUGUCCGGCUAUCCUGGAAUCUGCUUUGCAAAGGGCUUCCUCACCUUAUAUCGUUCGGCCGUGUAUUUUGAUUUGUGCUUUAUCUAUAAAGUGGGGUAAGAGCACAUGCUUCGAGAAAAUGAUGAUCCAUGUGUAAUUCUUAAAAAACUGUCUGCACACCAAGAAUGGCGUCGCCUCCUUUUAAGGCUUCUAUUGUUGGACAGGGACCUCCUGAGAGCCAAUGAGAUCUGCUCGUGUAAUGGUCCAUCAACUUGCCUCCAGCGCGCACAUAGAAGACCAGCGGUAUUGCAACGCAAAUCCUUAAAUGAGAAGGGAGAAGGCCACAUGGUGCGGGCCUCUGGGGCAGCAUACCAUGACUGCAUGACGGAGAUAACUACUAGGAUAAACUAAGAAAAUGUACGUCUGAAUGCAAGAGCUCAGAGCGAACCUAGAUGGUGCACUUAUUACAUGUACAUGGAGCGCCAACUGGCAACAUGUUUGAGUGGUCACAGCAAAGGACUUGUGUGGCACCUGCAAAUUGAGCACAUGAUGGCUGUCUUGUCUUGCUAGGUUGUCCGUCAUUGAAGAAAGCAAUUCGGUUAUGAGAUGAUUACCCAGAAACCAGUGAACUGGACUGUGCACCAGAGCUGAUGGAAGCGUCUUAACAUCCUCUACGGAUGCUUAUGUUUUUUCUUCUUUUUCUUUAGAUGACACAUUGCUUGUGUUAAUACGGUGGUGGUAUCAGUGAGCUAUGCACCAAACAGACAACAUGAGAGGACAGAAAUAGUGAAAUAAUCGAUGUGGUUGAGCUGGGCCUGCUGGCGUUCAUUUA